GUCAAGAACAUGUUGCCUCGUUAUCGCCUGGUUCUGCGUCCAACUCCUCAACUUCGUUCGUUGGGGAGAAAUAUGCGGGAUCCUCUUCCGCCAGUCUGUCGGUGCCGACGCAACAGACACAACUUGCAGUGAUGGGUUUGGACGACGAAAGCGUAAUAGCGCCUGUGGAAAGCCUGCCCGAGGUUUCUCCUGAAGUCCCACUAAGCCCGCAGUCCAGCAAUAGCCAGGCACACAUGGACGUGGCUUUGUCAGGUUCGCUUGUUCCUGUGACUUCAAUUG